CACGAUGAGACCGACUGUGACUGUCAGGCUCAGGUUUAGUACACCUCUGCAGGCUAUCAUGAAGCUACACACUGAGGAACAGAUCUCCGGACACGCACCUGUCCUACAGGGCAAACUGACACCAGGUCAUUAAGCUGCUCCUGCCUCCACAUCCUCCUGAUAAUACCUUAUCUCUGAACUCACCUGAUGGUCUCAUUAGAACUCCAUGUUCCACAGGUGUGUGUGUCUAAAGACAGCGAGAACAUUUGCUUUUAGAAUAAUUGGCCCCAAAACAGACAAACGCUGCAAAUUAGGCCUCUUUUGCCCGGAGGCGCUGGAGGCAUGAGGAGUGCAGGAGACCACAGACAAAGGCUCUUUUUCUCUAACCUGAGGAUAGGAGGAGAAAAAAUAAAAGCGUCAAUAAUCUACACAAGUGGAGGAAGUCUCCCAAGGUUCUGCAGCCCGCCGGUGUUUUAUUCAUGGCAGUCAUCGCCAGAGGACUCAUAAUUGACCUCUGCACUCUGAGAAAAAACUUGAGCAGAUGAAAGAAUGUGAUGUUUUGUAAUUCAACUUUUCAGUCCCCUUCUCCCCGAUCCAAUAGUAUUGAACUGAGGCAUGAAUAAUUCAGCAGGCAGCCGGCGAGGACACCUUAGCUGGAAGACGUUUCUGAGGCCGAGUCAGAGAGACGCUGAUAUCAGAUGAAGAAACACAAAUAAGAGUCACAUGAAAACAAACAGCAGCUCUGUGACGGAGGGCUGGAACUGGACUUUUAAAAAGGGGUUCUGCAGGAAGCUGUGAAAACUCUCUGUAAGUGUUUAUUGACGUGGAAUCCCAUUAUCCUCGUGGCUGAAGGGGGUCAGAGGCUGCUUUAUGUUUGAAUGCUUCAGCGCCUGCCUCUUCACUUAACUCCUCUAAUUAAACAUGUUUUUGUCAAACGCUAAUCAUGGCGUCAAGUGUUGACACUCCAGUCCGCUUCACAAGGACAUAAUUGUAUCAGUCAGAGUGUUUGGUGUUCCUGCUUUGUUUGACUAAAGUCUGUUUUAAACUCUAAAUCACUCGAACACGCUGCUCUGCAUGCAUGUGUGAUCAAUCUACAGUUAAACAGCACAAACACUU